rnacentral:rRNA from 1 species
AUUGAACGCCGGCGGCAUGCCUUACACAUGCAAGUCGAACGGCAGCAUGAUCUAGCUUGCUAGAUUGAUGGCGAGUGGCGAACGGGUGAGUAAUACAUCGGAACGUGCCCUGUAGUGGGGGAUAACUAGUCGAAAGAUUAGCUAAUACCGCAUACGACCUGAGGGUGAAAGUGGGGGACCGCAAGGCCUCAUGCUAUAGGAGCGGCCGAUGUCUGAUUAGCUAGUUGGUGAGGUAAAGGCUCACCAAGGCGACGAUCAGUAGCUGGUCUGAGAGGACGAUCAGCCACACUGGGACUGAGACACGGCCCAGACUCCUACGGGAGGCAGCAGUGGGGAAUUUUGGACAAUGGGGGCAACCCUGAUCCAGCAAUGCCGCGUGUGUGAAGAAGGCCUUCGGGUUGUAAAGCACUUUUGUCCCGGAAAGAAAUCGCACUUACUAAUAUUUAGGUGUGGAUGACGGUACCGGAAGAAUAAGG